GAGAAAGAUUGCUUCAGAGGACUUUAAGGAACAUUGGUGGACAUUCUAGAACUUGAAGAUUGCAAUUUGUUGAGCCAUGACUCCCAACUUAAUGUAAAACAGAGCAACUUCAAAGAG